rnacentral:rRNA from 1 species
UGGGGAAUAUUGGACAAUGGGCGCAAGCCUGAUCCAGCCAUGCCGCGUGAGUGAUGAAGGCCUUAGGGUUGUAAAGCUCUUUCGGCGGGGACGAUAAUGACGGUACCCGCAGAAGAAGCCCCGGCUAACUUCGUGCCAGCAGCCGCGGUAAUACGAAGGGGGCUAGCGUUGCUCGGAAUCACUGGGCGUAAAGGGCGCGUAGGCGGACAUUUAAGUCGGGGGUGAAAGCCCAGGGCUCAACCCUGGAAUUGCCUCCGAUACUGGGUGUCUCGAGACCGGAAGAGGUGAGUGGAACUGCGAGUGUAGAGGUGAAAUUCGUAGAUAUUCGCAAGAACACCAGUGGCGAAGGCGGCUCACUGGUCCGGUUCUGACGCUGAGGCGCGAAAGCGUGGGGAGCAAACAGGAUUAGAUACCCUGGUAGUCCACGCCGUAAACGAUGGAUGCUAGCCGUCGGCAGGCUUGCCUGUCAGUGGCGCAGCUAACGCUUUAAGCAUCCCGCCUGGGGAGUACGGCCGCAAGGUUAAAACUCAAAGGAAUUGACGGGGUCAUAGCUGUUUCCU